GAUCAAGUGUCUUAAGGGCAUUUGGUGGAUGCCUUGGCAUGCACAGGCGAUGAAGGACGUGAUACGCUGCGAUAAGCGUCGGGGAGGUGCGAAUACCCUUUGAUCCGACGAUUUCCGAAUGGGGCAACCCACCUUAGAUAGCUAGAAAAUCAAUUUAGUUGGAGCAACGCUGUUGGGUUUAGGCCCAUACAGACCGCUAGGUCGUCGGCCAUGUGGGCCGCCCCGCGGAGCGCCAGCAUCGUAAGAUGCGUACGGCGCGUGAGCGAGAACUAAAUUAAUUUCUAGUUAUCGUAAUAAGGUAUCUACACCUGAAUACAUAGGGUGUUAGAAGCGAACCUGGGGAACUGAAACAUCUAAGUACCCAGAGGAAAGGACAUCAAACGAGACUCCGCUAGUAGUGGCGAGCGAACGCGGACCAGGCCAGUGGCAAUAGGAAUAAAGUGGAAGAACCUGGAAAGGUUUGCCGAAGUGGGUGAUAGCCCCGUACACGUAGAACACCUGUUGUCCUUGAGUAGGGCGGGACACGUGAAAUCCUGUCUGAACAUGGGUCGACCACGAUCCAAGCCUAAGUACUCGUGCAUGACCGAUAGCGAACCAGUACCGUGAGGGAAAGGUGAAAAGCACCCCGACGAGGGAGUGAAACAGUACCUGAAACCGGAUGCCUACAAACAGUUGGAGCCCAAGGUUCGUCCUGGGUGACAGCGUACCUUUUGUAUAAUGGGUCAGCGACUUAGUGUAUCGAGCAAGCUUAAGCCGGUAGGUGUAGGCGCAGCGAAAGCGAGUCUGAACAGGGCGUUCAGUUCGAUGCAUUAGACCCGAAACCAAGUGAUCUAGCCAUGAGCAGGUUGAAGGUACGGUAACACGUACUGGAGGACCGAACCCAUAUCUGUUGCAAUAGAUCGGGAUGACUUGUGGCUAGGGGUGAAAGGCCAAUCAAACUUGGAGAUAGCUGGUUCUCCGCGAAAUCUAUUUAGGUAGAGCGUCCAGCGAAUACCCCCGGGGUAGAGCACUGAAUGGGCUAUGGGGACUCACCGUCUUACUGAUCCUAAUCAAACUCCGAAUACCGGGGAGUACUACUGGGCAGACACACGGCGGGUGCUAACGUCCGUCGUGGAGAGGCAACAACCCUGACCACCAUCUAAGGUCCCUAAGUUAUGGCUAAGUGGGAAAGGAUGUGAGGAUCCCAAAACAACCAGGAUGUUGGCUUAGAAGCAGCCAUCAUUUAAAGAAAGCGUAACAGCUCACUGGUCUAAAUAAGGGUCUUUGCGCCGAAAAUGUACCGGGGCUAAAGCCAUACACCGAAGCUGUGGAUGCACAUUUGUGCGUGGUAGCGGAGCGUUCCGUAAGCCUGUGAAGGGACAGUCGUGAGACAUCCUGGAGGUAUCGGAAGUGAGAAUGCUGACAUGAGUAACGAUAAAGGAGUGAGAGACUCCCUCGCCGAAAGUCCAAGGGUUCCUGCUUAAAGUUAAUCUGAGCAGGGUUAGCCGGCCCCUAAGGCGAGGCCGAAGGCGUAGUCGAUGGGAACCACGUUAAUAUUCGUGGGCCUGCAGGUAGUGACGGAUCGCGUGUGUUGUAAGGUCUUAUUGGAUUGAUCUUGCAGCGAAGCGGUUCCAGGAAAUAGCUCCUGCAUAUAGACCGUACCCUAAACCGACACUGGUGGACUGGUAGAGAAUACCAAGGCGCUUGAGAACUGCGUUGAAGGAACUCGGCAAAAUGCACGCGUAACUUCGGAAGAAGCGUGACCUCCAUUUAGGCAACUAGGUGGGGGUGGCACAGACCAGGGGUAGCGACUGUUUACCAAAACACAGGGCUCUGCGAAGUCGCAAGACGACGUAUAGGGUCUGACGCCUGCCCGGUGCUGGAAGGUUAAGAGGAUUGCAAGCAUGAUUGAAGCGUAAAGCGGCCGUACUAUAACGGUCUAGGUGCGAAAUUCUUGUCGGGAAUUCGACGCACGAUUAACCUACAUGAAUAAGACGAUGGUAAUGCCCCUGCUUAUUCUCUGUGAACUAGCCCCAUUUCGACCGG
rnacentral:rRNA from 1 species